rnacentral:tRNA from 2 species
GGGGAUAUAGCUUAAUUGGGAGAGCAAUCGAUUUGCAAUCGGUAAGAUAAGAGUUCGAAUCUCUUCAUCUCCA